rnacentral:rRNA from 1 species
UACGGGGGGGGCUAGCGUUGCUCGGAAUCACUGGGCGUAAAGCGCACGUAGGCGGAUUGUUAAGUCAGGGGUGAAAUCCUGGAGCUCAACUCCAGAACUGCCUUUGAUACUGGCGAUCUUGAGUCCGGGAGAGGUGAGUGGAACUGCGAGUGUAGAGGUGAAAUUCGUAGAUAUUCGCAAGAACACCAGUGGCGAAGGCGGCUCACUGGCCCGGUACUGACGCUGAGGCACGAAAGCGUGGGGAGCAAACAGG